CUUCUCCAGCGGCAUGGCGAGGCGGGACGGGGCUUGAACCUUGAACUAAUAAUUACCUACGCGUGUUCACCAAGAAAGAGGACCUGUUUUCGAGUGACAUCUUGAGGUCCUACCAAGUUUAAAACGUGGAAAACCAGUGUUAAUCAUGCUGCGAACCAGAAAACUGUCUCGGCUUUCUUUCCUGAUGUCCCAUGCAUGGGCCUCCAACCACUGCUGGCUGCCGCUCUCCUACUGCAAGAUGCAUUUCAUCAGAAAGAAGCAUAAGUCAUCCAAGGUUGUCAAAUACAUCCAGUACAAAAAAGAGGAUAUCAAAUCUGAACAGAGUAAGAAAGAAGUUAACAAAAUACCAAAUAAGGUCUCUCUGGAGUUCCAAGGAAACAGUAAAUCUUACAAAACAUUGAAAACAAUACCUCCAGUUUCUCAAGAGAAAAGCUUUGCCAGAGUCCCCAUUGAAACUGCAGCAAAGACAGAAAUUGAGCAGGAAGAGUGUGAUGAUGUCCCAAAGAUACAAGUUGCCUCAGUGGGGGAGGUUCUGGAGAAGGUUGCAGAACUUUAUAAUGAAAACAGGAGAUUCUCUACUUUGCAAUUUGCAGAAAGCAAAAUGAAAAAUCCAAUAACAGGAAAUCAGUACUCUGGAAAGGGAAACAAAAUUAGAAUUAUUCAGAGUCAGAAAAAUGACCAUGGUAAGAUUCCUAAUAAUAAUAAGAAAAAAAUUGUUAAAUUUAGUAAUGCAAGAGCAAUGAGUGGUGAUACAUCAGUAAUGUGUCAUGGUAAUUCUGGUCCAGUUGAUACUGUUUCAGAAAAUCAUAUGGUUAAUCAAAUAGGAAAUGAUCCAGAAAUAAAAGAGGAAAAUAAUUCAGAGUUUAGCAGAACAACCACCAGUACAGAUGAUCUUGAUAAGCCUGUGUCAGAACAGGAAUUCCACAACAUUCGCAGAAAUCCUCUUGGCAUCCAAAUGUUGUCAGAAGGCAUCUAUAACCAAUUGUUUAAGGAAGUAACCAAUGAGGGCUGUGAAAAGGAGGAUCUGGAAAGAACCAAAGAACACUUACAGACUCAUGGGUUGUGGAACAAAAUUCCAUCAGUCAUACCCAGUGUGGAGUUUGAGUUGCCUGAAAUAGAAGGUAAUGAUUUAGACCAGCAUUUUCGUGUCAUAGCUGAGAAUCAGUGUUCUCAGUACAAAGAGCUGCUCAACACGCUGGUGGAAGAUGUUCCAAGUCUCCCAAAUAAGUGGGAGUUUGCUCCGGGCUGGACACGUUACCAUCCUGAUGGAAGUUGUUCAUCCGUGGAUUAUCCAGAAUGCAGUGCGAUAGUUUUUGAUGUGGAGGUUUGUGUUACGGAAGGCAACCAGCCUACCAUGGCCACAGCAGUGUCAAACAAAUACUGGUAUUCAUGGUGCUCUGAAGCACUCAUAAAUCCAGAUGUUCACUUUGAUGGGAGUGAGAUUAGAAUGGAAGAACUGAUUCCACUUGAAACUUCAAGCAGCAUGAAUCCAGUGCCCUCACACUCUGGGCGGGUUGUUGUGGGCCAUAAUGUUAGUUAUGAUCGCCUGCGAGUCCGGGAGCAGUAUUUGUUGAAGGAGACACCCCUUCGGUUUGUUGAUACAAUGUCCCUCCACAUUGCUGUUAGUGGACUAGUGUCAGAGCAGCGGGCCUUGCUGAUGAAAAACAAAGGUGAAAAAAAAAUUAGGCUGCCAUGGAUGUCUGUUGGUUGCCAGAACAGCCUGGUUGAAGUGUAUAAAUUUUAUUGCCGUCCUGAAAAGGGUCUAGAAAAAAGCACAAGAGAUGUGUUUGUUGAUGGUACCUUGAGUGAUGUAAGAGAAGACUUUCAGAAUCUGAUGAGUUAUUGUGCUACUGAUGUGACAGCAACUCAAAAGGUUCUGGCUAAGUUGUUACCAUUGUUUUAUGAGCGGUUUCCUCAUCCAGUAACAUUUUCUGGAAUGCUAGAGAUGGGCCUCACAUUUCUCCCUGUUACAAAGAACUGGGAAAAGUACAUUGAAGCUUCAGAAGUUCAGUAUCACCAAGUUGAGAGGCAGCUGAAUGAGGAGCUUGUGAAACAAGUCCAGGCAAGUCUUGGCUCUAUGAAGAAUAAAGAGUAUGAGAAUGAUCCCUGGCUAUGGAGCCUUGACUGGGCCCAACCCAAAGCUAGGGUGAAAAAACUGCCUGGCUACCCAAAUUGGUAUAGAAAGCUCUGUGCACGUACGGGUGAAAGAGAAGGCACUCCAGAGCCUGAAAACAUGAGUACCAGUUUGCAGAUUGUUCCAAAAAUUCUAAGAUUGACUUGGAAUGGAUUUCCACUACACCAUGAAAGGAAAUUUGGAUGGGGUUAUUUGAAACCUGUGUACCCCUCUUUCAAGGAUAUACCACAGUCUGAAUGGGAUUCCUAUGCAGUCAAUAACACUAGUGAACCAGUAUUUCCUGUGAAGGCUUUGUAUGAUAUUUGUAAUGAAAAUGUCACAAGACAGUCAACAGCUCUACAAGAUAUUUCUCAGUAUGAUGAAAACUUGAAUAUACAUGACCUAGAGUUAGGCAGCAAAAAUAAAGGCCCUACAAAGAAAACAGGAGGCACAACUAGUGAAGAGGGGAGCUUGAAGGAUAUAGGCAUCCCAGGGGUGGGGUUCGUUCCACUGCCACACAAGGACGGUGCAGGAUGUCGGGUUGGCAACCCAUUGGCCAAGGAUUUCCUGGGAAAGAUAGAAGAUGGCACAUUAACCAGUCACUUGGGUGAUGUUGCAAAGCUUGUGUUGGAGACCAGCAAGUCAUUGUCCUAUUGGAAGAACAACAGAGAUCGCAUCCUUUCUCAGAUGGUUGUGUGGAAUGAUCAUUCUGUCUUACCACAUGAAGUCACAUCACAUGAUGCCUACACGAGAGAGAACAAGUAUGGGAUCAUAGUGCCCAUGGUUGUCUCCGCUGGGACCAUCACCCGGCGGGCAGUGGAGCGGACCUGGAUGACAGCUUCCAAUGCCUACGCGGACCGAAUAGGCUCAGAGCUGAAGGCCAUGGUUGAGGCUCCGCCGGGUUAUAAAUUUGUUGGUGCUGAUGUAGACUCCCAGGAACUGUGGAUUGCAUCAUUAUUGGGAGAUGCAUACUUCACUGGAGAGCACGGGGCCACUGCUCUUGGCUGGAUGACUCUCCAAGGGAAGAAGAGUGAUGGAACAGACAUGCACAGCCACACGGCUCGCAGUGCUGGAAUUUCCCGAGACCAUGCCAAGGUCAUUAACUAUGGGAGAAUUUAUGGUGCUGGACUGCGAUUCAUCCAGAGGCUCCUGAAGCAGUAUAAUCCCAAACUGUCUGACCAAGAAACUAAAAGGAAAGCAGAACACUUGUUUGCAGUGACCAAGGGGGAGAAGGGCUGGUACCUGAAUGAGGUUGGGGAGCAGCUUGCCCUAGAUAUAGGUCAUCCUGUGCCUGAAGAACCCCUGCCUCGAAGGAAGAUCACAAAGCUCUUAUGGCAAGCCCGUGAGAGCAACUAUGGAGCUAGUUUUUCUGAGAUAGUGGAAACCCCUCCUGUGUGGAUUGGAGGAUCUGAGUCUCACAUGUUCAACUGCCUGGAGGCCAUCGCUCGGUGUGAAGAGCCAAAAACUCCAGUGCUGGGUGCUCGUAUGACUCGAGCCCUUGAGCCGUACUGGGUGGAUAACCAGUUCAUGACUAGCAGGGUGAACUGGGUGGUACAGAGCUCAGCGGUGGACUACCUGCACAUCAUGCUGGUGUGCAUGCGGUGGUUGUUCACCAAGUACGGCAUCUCCGGUCGCUUCUGCAUCAGCAUUCAUGAUGAGGUACGAUACUUAGUGGCGGAAGGAGACUGUCAUAGAGCAGCGCUGGCCCUCCAGAUCACCAACCUUCUUACACGGGCAUACUUUGCCAGCAGACUGGGGUUCAAAGACUUGCCGCAGUCUGUCGCCUUCUUCAGUGGUGUGGACAUUGACCAGGUGCUAAGAAAGGAGCCCCACAUGGACUGUGUUACUCCCUCCAACCCCCAGGGGUUGAUGAAGGGGUAUAGCAUCAAGCCAGGACUGACACUGGAUAUACAUGAAAUCAUAAAGUCAACUAAUGGGAAACUGACUAAAGCUGAUGCUGGCUGCUGUGAAGAGGCAGCUGAAAGUGAGGAUUGACAAAGUGCGCUGUAUGCAGAAGAAUCAAAAGGAAUCCAAUUUUGCAAGACGUGUAGUUUUACUUGCGAAGGCCAAAGUCAACGAAAUAGUUACGUUUGAACAGCUAUCCUAAAUGCAACUUUAUAAAUGCGAAUGAUUUACUGUUUUUAUACCUUUAUUUUCACCAAAGAUAUGGCAACUACGACAAAUAAAAUGAAGCAAAAUACUCACCAAUGAGUGAGAGAAAUGGAAGAAAAAACCCGCACACAUGUGAAUGCAUCUUGAGAUGCCAAAUACCAUCUAUAAACUGCAUUGCCAGUGACAGGAGCACUCAGUAGAGCGUGACGAUUCCGCAGCACCCAGCGACAGUAGGGCUGGGCAGACACUGGUACUGUUAGUACCAAUACUGCAAAGUGGUAAGCAAAGGGUCAAGAGUGAGAUGUGGGACAGCCCAAGAUGCCAUGCUGUGGACUGAGUAUCACCUUGUCACCAGGAUAGCAC